GAAUGGAGAUCGCCUUAGGCAUUGCAAAAGGAUUGGUAGAUCUACAUGAACAAUAUAAACGUUGGAACAUAUACGAGCAUUUCAAGGAUGAUAGUAUCUUUCUUGACGGAAAUUUUCAAUUAAAGUUUGCAGAGUAUGGACGUGCCAAGUUUCUCUCAACAUCUGUUGGUUUUACGACUUCUACGUAUGCCAAGACUGAUGUUUAUUUCUUUGGUGAAAUUCUUGUGGAGCUAAUCACUGGAAAGCAACCUAAUGAUGACAUUAGCAUAGUUGAAUGGGCGGAACCUGUGCUCGGAGAUGGUUUGCUGCAUGGCGAGUAUUAUUUUGUUGACAAUAAAUUGCAGAACAAGUUUGAUGAAAAAAAAAUGAUUCGAAUGAUUACAUGUGCUUUAGCCUGUGUACGUCGUUUCCCUCAAGAGCGACCACAAAUGAGUCGGGUGGUGGAAGUUUUAGCAGGGAACAUUCCUCCGGAAUAUCUCUAGAGUGGAUAACAACAAUUUAUAAAAAAAAUAAAUAUGUACUUAUGGUUAUCUUCUGAUGGUCCCUUUAAGUCAGAGACGGUAAUACCGUUGCGGGAGCCUUCUUCCUCGUUUACCUUAAACUAGAAUAUAGAGAAUUCUUCUUUGGAUUCAGGGCUGAGUGAUAUUAGUGAGAUUU
rnacentral:misc_RNA from 1 species